UCCAGACUCCUACGGGAGGCAGCAGUGGGGGAUAUUGCACAAUGGGGGGAACCCUGAUGCAGCGACGCCGCGUGGGUGAAGGAGCGUUUCGGCGCGUAAAGCCCUAUCGGCAGGGAAGAAGGAGGACGGUACCUGACUAAGAAGCCCCGGCUAACUACGUGCCAGCAGCCGCGGUAAUACGUAGGGGGCAAGCGUUAUCCGGAUUUACUGGGUGUAAAGGGGGCGCAGACGGCAGCGCAAGCCAGGAGUGAAAGCCCGGGGCCCAACCCCGGGACUGCUCUUGGAACUGCGCGGCUGGAGUGCAGGAGGGGCAGGCGGAAUUCCUGGUGUAGCGGUGAAAUGCGUAGAUAUCAGGAGGAACACCGGUGGCGAAGGCGGCCUGCUGGACUGCAACUGACGUUGAGGCCCGAAAGCGUGGGGAGCAAACAGGAUUAGAUACCCCGGUAU
rnacentral:rRNA from 1 species